AUUUCUUAAUAGCAAAUAAAUGCAUUAGAAUUAGAAUCUAAUAAUAUC
rnacentral:tRNA from 8 species